GAUUUUCCAUAAAAAUGUAUCAUACAAUGUAUACGAUCACCAUUUGACUUUAAACUUCAGUAUCAGUAGGUCUGGCAAUAACGUUAUAACAUGGCAAAAGUAAUGCUUAUUUUGAUAAUUGUAUUAGUCUGUGUUCAACAAGUAACAAGCGGAAUAGCUGUUAACAAGAGAAAUGCAGAUAAGGACUGUCCUCAGGGAAUCAUAGAAGAUUGUGCAGAUAAGGGAUGUAGUUAUAUACCUAACGGAAUAGACUCAUGUGUUUGUUAUUGUCCGGAUAAACAGCAAAAAGGAAGAAAAAAGUGAAUAUUUUGUCACAUAUGCAGACUAUCUGAAUUAUCUAACAUAAUCCCGUUGAUGUCAAGUACACGUGAUGGUUGCAUAUAAUAUAUUAAAUAGUUUUCAUUUC